AGGAAACCUGGGGUCUUGGGACAAAAGGACAAUCCAGGAAAAAAAACCUCAGCAAUGUCCUAAUCACAUGAUGCUAACAUGGGAGGGAGCUUACAAAGUUCUUUCACAUCCAUUCCUCGGUUCUUAUAACAGCCUCAUGAGUGGGCAGGGCAGGGUUUAUAAUUCUCUUUUUACAAGUGAAGGAACUCAGGCUCAGAGCUGGCAGGACUUGUCUCCAAGUUCUCAGGGGAGUCUGGAUUAGAACCCAGGGCUCUGGAUUGGCCCAAGCCACCCCAGGAACUAGACUAGAGGCUACCACUGUUUGGCCCACACCCCUUUACCACUGCCACACCCAGGAAAAACAAGGUCCCGUAGAACAGCCGUGUAGCACCAUUCAGAACUGCCCUCUGCCCCGUGCCAAGCAGAAAAAGUGUGAGGUCUGCGAGUCAUCCUGCUACAGCCGGAGACUCAGCCUGAACCAGUCAGCGUGAAUGUGAGACCCUGCGAACAUGGAGGCCGGUAAAGAGGGGGAAUUUCAUGCGGAGAAGAGCAGCCUGUUCACUUCUAAGUGGGUUCACCUUUUAACAUGGGUUAAAGUGUAACUGUGACCCUGGUAAUCAGUACUGCUUGUUGAGCACUCGCUGUACACCAGGCACUAUGUUGAGUUUUUUAAAUGCAUAAUUUCCCUUAAUCUUCACAACAGUCUUAUGGUGGGGGGAUAUUGCCUCCAUUUUCCAAAUUUGGAAACUGACACCCACAGCGGUUAAUUUGUCCAAGCUUAUGUGGCCAGCAGGAGGCAGAACCCCAAUUAAUCUGAGAUCUAUCUGGCUAUAACCUCCGUGCUAUGCUGCCUCCUACCCAUUUCUGCUUCCAGAGACCACCUUAACUCUGGCCUCCAGUCCAAAUCCGGUUCCAGACAGCUCCCCUGGCUCCAUGCUACUUCCUUGCUGCCACCUUUGCCUUGGGGCCCUCUGGACCCAUGUACACAUGGAAUUUGAAAAGUCUCACCAUUCUUUCCCUCUUUGGGACUCAGUUUCCUACCCAUAAAAUUAGGAACUUGGAUGACCCAGUCUUCAAGAGCUUUUCUAGGUCCAAGGUCCUCUGGAUUCAGUUCAAGUCUACAGAAUGGCACUGAGCACUGUGUGGGCCUUGGGCGUGCAGAGAUGGUGAAAUGGGUCCCUGUCUUCUAGAUGAACGCCAGCACUGCCAGCUCAAUAUUGCCAGCUGUCCUUCUGUAUGUGUGGUCAGGCUGGACAAUUGUGAUGGCACCCUGCACAGCAAGGGUAGAGUCCUUUAGGGCUGCAGGACAAUCUGAGAUUUCACUUGAUUUUCCCUUUGUUUGCUGGACAAACUCCUACUUCUUUUUAAAUAAGCAGCUCAAGAGUUACUUCUUCUGGGGAGAUGUUUUGGCUCCUUUUCAAGCCCAGAUUCCCAUGACCCUUCUAGUCUUUCUCUUAUAGCAUCUACUCCUGCAAUAGAGAAAUAAGUAUAUAGCCUUGUUUAGAUUCCUGGCCCCACUGCUUACCAGUGUAUGAUCUCAGGGCCUGUUUCCUUGUCCAUGCAGUACAGUGAUAAUGGUGUCUAUCUUUCUCUCUGGUUGUGUAAGUCCUAAAUGAGAGUUGUAUAAAGCUCCUAGAACUGUGCUUACAAAGCAUUACUUAUGUUUGAAAUGCUUGUUCCCCGGUGCCCUAAAGAAAUGGCACUUGAACAUAAAUUUAAUGUUACUCAGCAAGGCCAUUUUUGCUUCCUGCAGAA
rnacentral:lncRNA from 10 species